rnacentral:other from 1 species
AGGCUGCUGCAGAGUUCGAUAAGACAGCACUGUCCCAGAGGCCGAUGAUCGUUAGAUCGGGAGCCGUCGCUGUUCAGGCCGUGGCCUGAGUACAUGGCACCCCCCUGUUUUACAGGGCCUAGCGGAUAACCCCGUCGACGGCUCAGGUGGCAGCCUU